UACGUAGGCAGCGAGCGUUGUUCGGAGUUACUGGGCGUAAAGGGUGCGUAGGCGGUUGUUUAAGUUUGGUGUGAAAUCUCCCGGCUCAACUGGGAGGGUGCGCCGAAUACUGAAUGACUAGAGUGCGGGAGAGGAGAGUGGAAUUCUUGGUGUAGCGGUGAAAUGCGUAGAUAUCAGGAGGAACACCGGUGGUGUAGACGGCUCGCUGGGCUCUACCUGACGCUGAGGCGCGAAAGCGUGGGGAGCGAACCGG
rnacentral:rRNA from 1 species